CCUUUCUGUAAAUGCAUAAUGUCUCCAGAAGCUUUCAGCUAAAAUACCAAUGUGUUAUUUUGGAGAGAGAAUGCGUGAACUCUGAGCACUCCAAAUUGCCUAAGCAUGAACCAGUUUAUCAAGUUAUUUAAGUUGAGAGAAAGGUCCUCAAGAAAGGAAUUACAAAAUUGUGCUCUUUAUGGGACAUCAUGAGAAGGCACAGGGAAGUUAUGGAGGUAACAGUAGUGGAAGGAAGAAAAACCUGAAGAUACUUGGGAAGGCGUGCCCGGGAGCAAGGCAAGGGUCACAAUCACAUUCACAGAACCUCAUUAGGGUGGAUCCACAGGACAAACUUCCCACUGCUCACAGAAGCACUACCACCCCUUGGAAUAAUCAAUCAAUCAAACCAACUCAACAAUCUUCCUUUUAAUGCUAGUGGCACAUAUUGAUAUAAAAAUAAAAUUUUGCUUUCUGGUGGGACAUGAAUAA